UAAUUACAUAAUUAUUAUGCUAAAAUUAAAAAAUUAUACAAAGAAUAUACAUAUAAACAAGGCUAUACAAAGGUACUUGAAUUUCAGAUAGAAAAGAAAUAUUAAAUAUGUAUUAUUAUAAGAUAUUACUUCUUGUAUCAAGGCACAUCAUAUCACAAAUUGGAGCAAAUGCUGCAAUAACAACUGAUAUGACAAGCAGUGCAUAUCAGAGGGAAGCAAGAAAGGUGGCUGCCAUGGGCUUCACAAUUUUAGGGGCUCAAUUUAUAACUCAACUAGCAGACCCGUGCCCGGGCCGAUCUAUAAACUAUGAAACCCCG
rnacentral:lncRNA from 1 species